rnacentral:rRNA from 1 species
UGGGGAAUAUUGCACAAUGGGCGAAAGCCUGAUGCAGCAACGCCGCGUGAGUGAUGAAGGUCUUCGGAUUGUAAAGCUCUGUCUUUUGGGACGAUAAUGACGGUACCAAAGGAGGAAGCCACGGCUAACUACGUGCCAGCAGCCGCGGUAAUACGUAGGUGGCGAGCGUUGUCCGGAUUUACUGGGCGUAAAGGGUGCGUAGGCGGAUGUUUAAGUGAGAUGUGAAAUACCCGGGCUUAACUUGGGUGCUGCAUUUCAAACUGGAUAUCUAGAGUGCAGGAGAGGAGAAUGGAAUUCCUAGUGUAGCGGUGAAAUGCGUAGAGAUUAGGAAGAACACCAGUGGCGAAGGCGAUUCUCUGGACUGUAACUGACGCUGAGGCACGAAAGCAUGGGUAGCAAACAGGAUUAGAUACCCUGGUAGUCCACGCCGUAAACGAUGAGUACUAGGUGUAGGAGGUAUCGACCCCUUCUGUGCCGCAGUAAACACAU